UUUAUGUGCCAAGUUUCAUCUACAACAAAAAUCAUUUGCUACUAAAAGUAAAUGCCAAAUAAAUAAACAAAAAGGUAAAAGAAAAGAAAAGGAAGAGGUGAGGCAGAGAGAGAGAGAACACCCCACCGCUCCCUGGGCCUUAGCCCAUCGGCCGGCCCAGCCCACCGAUGCCCACGGGUCGUCCCUUCCUCUGUUCAGCCAAACGGGGUCGAAACAGGGGCGCGGUUCUGCCCCAACCACCUCGCCGGCGAUGCCCCAGCGAGGGGAUAAGGCCCCGCACCUCCCCGUCUCCUCUUUACCCGCAUCCACUCACCCCCGCUCAGCUUGCCCCUCUCCGCCUCCCCUCUCAGAUCCCCUUUUCCCUUCUCUUCAGGCGCGGUCGUCGCCGUCGCCGUGCCACCACCGCGGCCACCGCCACCACGAGGCCUCACCGCCGCGUCCCUCAUCUCCGCCGUAGUCGUCCACAUUGUUUCCGUCCACGAACUCGAGCUGGGAGCCGCUGCAGAGGGCGAAUCGAGCCGUCCCCUUUGCUUCGGUUGCCAGCACUUCUCCGCCGAUCCGCUUUGGUCUGCUGCUCCUAAACUCCCACGGGCCUGCGUAUGUGCCGCUCGCUUCGUAUGGAACUUCACUAUACUUGAUUCUGUGGUGGAUCAGCUUGUUUUAGAAGAGUUAGUUAGACAGAAAUUCUCCAAGCUAGGUCAAAAUGAUAUUCGAUAAGCUUAGGAGUUUCCAGGAGAAACCCUUGGAUUUAGGUGUGAAGCUGAAGAACUACAAGAUCAAGAAAGCAGCAGGUCUUACGCCCCAAACUGCAAGGGCUCGAAGUGGAGCCAGAGAUGACGAGACCAAAUUAGAUUUUUGUGCAUUAUAUGGUGUCUUGGCAGAUUUAGAUUCCUAUUAAAAAUGAUACCAUUUUGUUUAUGUUGACUACUAUUUCGUGGUUGCAAGGCAACAACCGCUAGAACAUAUUCUGUAAUUUAGCAUGUUCAGCGCAGUCUGGUUGUGAGUAGAUGUAUUUUAGUUAAGGAAUAUGUGUGCUUGUGGGCACUUGCA